rnacentral:lncRNA from 1 species
GUUUUUUUUUUUUUCAAUCUGUAAAAUUUGAGAAUUUUCUGUAUGAAUAGUUUUGUUUCUUCACUUGCUCUCAGUGUUUCUGCCUGUUCUUACAUUUUCUCAUCUAGCAUUAUGCUAUUAUCCUUAGGAGUUGCAAAGUAUCAGGGGAAGGGUGCAUGGGUGAUUUUAUCCCUGAGUCAUAUCUUGUUCUAUCACAUGCAAACACCUGUCCUGAAAUUGAAUUAUUCUGCAGGGUAAUCGAAAAGCCUCCCUCCAUUCAGCAUCAUAUGUUUUCUGUUGUUUAUUGAGUUAUGUUGCACCAUACUUCAGAUGCGACAGCCAUUUAAUAAUGUUGAAGACUGAGCUCUGCAGGGGCUAAAAGGAUCCCAGCAGGCUUGUUAACUUCUACUCUAAAACAUUAUAAGGAAUAUUUUUUCCUCUGUGAAACUUCUGGGCUUUCUCUUAAUUUAUUUUAAGAGCGUGAGAAUUUUUGAAUAGUUAUGAAAUUAAACUUGUGAUUUUUUUCUUUCCUCUUAGUAUUUAACACAUCUGUUUCACUACAUAUCUUACUAAAUAGUGGCAAAGAAAACCUUACUUUUUCAAAUACCUCACUUUCAAGGUGUGUUUCUUCAGUUGAUAUAAAAUCAUUAAAUAAAUUGCAUUCGGGAAAUACACUACUAGUUUCCUUGCUUUUCACUUUAAAAAAAAAUAAAAUUUGUAUUAGGGAAGAGGUUGUGGAAAGAAUCACUACUCUCAUCUAAUUUACCAGUUGAUUGAUGUUAGGUACAUUAGCAUAAUUUCUCUAAACUUUAUUGCCUCAUCAGUAAGACACAAGUAAUGAUGUCAGUGACCUUAUGACUUUUUAAUAUUAUAUGUAGGGUAAUAUUUUUCAAACUAUGAGAUGCUAUAUAAUUUCUCAGAUCUGUUUUAAAAUCAUCAAUAAAAAAUACCUUAAGAGAACUAUAUUUAUAGCUGUUUCACCAACAGGUUCCUUAUAGUUUUCAGAUGUUAAAGCUCAGGUAGACUAUGCUGUGAUGUGCAUAUUUUGAUUGUUUUUUUAAUCACUGAGUUUGGCAAGGAUCUGGCUGAGUUCUUUGUGAAGAGCUAAACUGAUAAAUUUUCUUGCUCCCAUGCCUGCAUUGUCAAAUAUUCUAAGAGAAAGAGAAAAUUAUCUAGUGGACAUCAGUAGAUGUGGAGAGCCAGUUGAAAUCAUUCAGUGCUCUUUCUCCUUCCUUACCAUAGGAACAGCAUCGUCGUUAAUUUCCACAUCUUCUCAUAGGUGCACCACAGACAUGUGUAUGCAUGUUUCACAUUGCUGACCCAAUACCUUCCUUUGGCUUGUAUUUUCUUUUUUUGAACAGAAACAGGGAGUUAUUCUAAAUGUAAAUUAAUGAGUUCAAGAGAAUCAUUGGAAAAAAGAAAUGGCUAAGUGCUUCUCAAGAAUUGGAGAACAUCUUUAACAAAUAAUGGAAAUUGAACAUAUUUAACAGAUGUUGAAAAAUCAGAAUAUGUUUACAUAUGUAUAGUAGCAUAGGUAGUAAAUAACACAGGUAAAUAUGAUUUUGAGGUGAAAGGGAAGUGGCUAUGCAGAGAUUUUCUUUUUCUUUUUAGUAAGUAGAGAGUGUUUGUGAAAUGAAGACAGUUAUUAUCCAGUAGGAGAAUAGGCUUGUGUUUUUAUGGAAAAGAAUGGCAGUGAUUCCUAAAAGACUUAGAAUACUAACCAAGAAAGAUUAAAAUAAAGGAAAAAGAAAUAUUCAAGCCAGGGUGCAAUGCAGUAUCUAGAAGGAACUUUGUCAAGGUGGAAUGUGAAUGUCUGUUUUCCUUCAGUAUUUAUAGAAGUUUUGUAGAGAUUGGAAAAUUUAAAAAGGGGGAAAGAUAAAUUUUUCAUGACUUGACUCAUGAGUGAGAUCUUAGGCUGGAAAAGCAGAUUGUCAUAGUUGAUGUUAUUAUUAUUUUUACUUAAAUCUUUUAAAUAUUUGGUAGACUAAUUAGAAAGCAUAACUAAAACAAAAUACUUUUAAGGUGGGUAGAAAAUCAUAUCUCAUUUGUAUCUCAUCUGCAUUUGAAUUCAUAUUUUAGGGGACAUUCUUGAGAAAGUAGAUGAAAGCUUUGAACUACAGGAGAACUUCUGAAAGGGCAAUUUCUUGCUCAACCCACCACAACUGGAUGAUUGAUAGAAGCAUAAAAAGGAUAAAGGUCAAGAAGGAGAGAAAGAGAUAUAUGCUUUUAGAUCAUGGAGAGUGAUGGACAUUUCUUUAGAUUUUAGCAAAUCUGGAAAAUUCUGAAGAUAUAUUUUCUCCAAAACUUUACAUAGUAAAAAUAGAUGAAAUACAUUUUCAAACGUAGACCAUAUAAAUUUAAUUAUGUAGAAUAGUGAUAAUUAGUGGUAGUAAAUCAGUGAUAGGAAGAUAAUUUUCCUAGGGAAUGACUUUUCUAUGGAAAAUGUUCAUUUUAUAGAUUAAAUGAGGUGAAUGAUGGUUUUAAUGGAGUUAAAGGAAAAAGAUAAAGAUGAGGUGUGGAUGGGUGGGAAGUGAGAAGAAAUGGAAUCUUCUAUUAAACAUAAAUAUUUUGCAUUCCUGUUUUAGUCCCAUGAAAAACAAAAUAGAGAAUAAUGAUUUGUUUUCUUCACUCUCGAAUAGAUGUUUUCUUUCCUUCUGUAAGGCUGCUCUAUAUAGAGUUAAACUCAUUGUGAGGUGGAGUUGUUUUGGAUUUUCCAUGCAUGAUUUUCUUAACAUGAAUAUGAUUUUGAAUGAUGUGGAAGUAAGUUGUGUAUUUUUCAAGCUGCGGGCUACAAUACAUUAGUGGUCUGUGAAAGUGUGUUGGAUUAAACUACUGGUUCAGGUAUGUAUGUUGACCAAAAUACAUAUGUGUGCACGUACUGGCUGCUGUGUAAAAUGUCUUUCUCACUAAUGGUUGUGAUCAGAAAGUUUGAGAAACACUAGUAAUAGCAACAAUACUAUUGUACAAGGAAUGAAGUUGUAUUUGAACCAUCAUUAACAAGAUAAAAACUUAAAUGUGUUGGUAUAAUAGCGUGUCUUUAUUUCUGCUAGGUAGGUCUAUACCCACGUUAUGUGUUCAUGAAUGCAUGGUAUUAUUAAGAACAUAGUAAACCCUUGAUGAAUUGAAUUCAACUGAACAAAUCAUUAAGUAGGAACUGUUAAUCCUCUAGGACUUUUAAGUUCUGUGGAUAUAUAUGUACACAUCCACCCAUGUUGUCUGGCUUAAGGAACCUAAACUUUUCCAUAUUCCUGACUGCAUUGUUUCAGUACCCUUAUAAUUCCCCUACUCUAGAUGGGCCUUCAUUCAAAUGCUUGAUUCCCUAUUUGUAUUUGCAGUCCUCAGUCGAAGCAAUGGACAAAUUUAAGAUGAUAUAAUUAAAAUUUUUGAAAACUUCCAAAGCAAUCUCACAUCUAUUUAAAAACCCUUAGGAUUCUUCAAUUCAUUCUUGCUUUAGUCCUCCAACUCUAGACAAGUAGAAUAGACUGAUAUGAUACCUACCUUGGUGCCUUAUGUGGUUUUGUGUUGUAGUAUUAAGUUUUGCUCUAUUCCAAGGGAUAUUUUGCAGACUACUAGAAGCCUUUGUUUCACCUAAAUAAAAUAAAGUGUUAUAUUGGAAGAGACAAAGAAGAGAAGAGAGAGAGGAAAGAAG